AUGGUCGAGGUGGGCUACCGCUUCCGCUUCUUCGGCGAGGACGCCGCCGUCGCCGCCUCCGUCCUCGGCAUCGUCGCCCACCCCGACCGCAGCUUCCUCACCGCCAGCGUCCCCACGUUCCGCCUGGGCUUCCACGUCCGCCGCCUCGUCGACGCGGGCCACAAGGUCGGCGUCGUCCGCCAGACCGAGACCGCGGCGAUCAAGGCGGCGGCGGCCGCGCGCGGCGGGGGCGGCGCGGCUCCCUUCGCGCGCGAGCUGUCGGCGGUGUACACGCGCGCCACCAUCGAGGCCGGGGCUGGGGAAAUGGAGGGCGGCGGCGCGCCGGAAGAGGGGAGCAGGUACCUCGUCUGCGUGGUGGACAAGGAGGUGGAUGCCGUGGGGAGGGAGGGGUUCGAGGUGAAGGUUGGGGUGGUGGCCAUCGAGGUGUCCACCGGCGAGGUCGUGCACGGGGAGCUCAUGGACGGCGCAGCCAGGAGCGGGCUUGAGGCCGUGCUGCUUGGCCUGGCGCCCGUUGAGGUCAUACUCGGCACCCCUCUCUCGUUCUCUACUGAAAAGCUGAUGAGGGCAUAUGCGGGACCUGCCUCUAAUGUCCGGGUUGAGUGCACUUCGCGUAAUUGUUUCAGCGAGGGCGGCGCUUUAGCAGAACUGAUGUCUUUGUUUGAGAAAUCGGAGGUCAAUUCACCAACCAUUGAAAACGAUAAACAGAUGAUGGAAAUAAAUGAAGAGGACAACAAUCUUCGUGGGAUGGAGGGUGUCAUGGCUAUGCCAGAGCUAGUUGCCCAAGCAAUGGCAUUGAGCGUUCACUAUUUGAAGGGUUUUGGUAUGGAGAGGUUAAUCUGCUUUGGUUCUUCAUUCCGGCCAUUUACUGCUAAUACUGAAAUGUCUCUAUCAGCAAACGCUCUUCAGCAGCUCGAGGUAUUAAAGAACAACUCAGAUGGUUCAAUAGAAGGGUCCCUGUUCCAAACUAUGAACAACACAUGUACAGCUUUUGGAUCUAGGCUGUUUAGACACUGGUUGACUCACCCCUUAUGUGAUAGAAAUCUAAUAUGUGCUCGUCACGAUGCAAUCUCUGAGAUCUCUGAAUCGAUGGGAUCACGGCAAGAUUCAGUUAGCAUUCGACAGGAUGAAGGGGAUGGGUGCUGCGCAGCUUCUGCGCGAAGUGAUCUCAGCACCAUUCUUUCAUCUGUUUUAACAAUGCUGGGAAGAUCACUUGAUUCUCAAAGAGGAAUUACAAGAAUUUUUCACUGCAAAGCCACAGCUAAAGAGUUUGUUGGGGUCAUCCAGGCUAUCUUGACGGCUGGAAAGGAACUGCGGAAGCUUGUUCUCGAGGAUACUGACAACGUGUCUUCUCAGCAUAGAACUGUCCACUCUUCUUUGUUGAGAAGGCUCAUAAGUACAGCUUCAUCAUCUGCUGUACUUGCCAAUGCUGUGAAACUUCUGUCGUGUCUUGACAAAGAUGCUGCUGAUCAAGGAGAUAUGAUAAACUUAUUCAUUUCAUCUGUUGACCAGUUCCCCGAGGUUGCAGAGGGUCAUGUGACUGUUCAAAUGGCCAAACAAAAACUGGAUUUAUUAAUUGUUGAAUAUCGGAAGCAGCUUGGCAUGCGCAGCUUGGAGUACAAAACCGUAUCUGGAACAGCUUACCUGAUCGAACUACCAGUAGAUAGAAGGGUGCCUUCAAAUUGGAUGAAAGUAAAUAGCACCAAAAAAACUAUUAGAUACCACACUCCUGAAGUAUUGAAGAACUUGGACAACUUAUUACUGGCUAAAGAAGAACUAGCAGUUAUCUGCAGGAAAACAUGGCACAAAUUCCUUAUGGAUUUCGGCAAAUAUUAUGCGCAGUUUCAAGCAUCUGUCGAAUCUCUUGCAGCUCUUGACUGCUUAUACUCUCUUGCCACUCUUGCAAAACAAAAUAAUUAUGUACAACCUAAUUUUGUUCCUGAAAAUGAAGCAAGUCAGAUCCACAUCAAAGAUGGCCGCCAUCCGGUUCUGGAGUCUCUACUUGGAGACAAUUUCGUUCCAAAUGACACAGACCUUCAUGCAGAUGGGCAGUACUGCCAGAUUGUUACAGGACCAAACAUGGGAGGAAAAAGUUGCUAUAUUCGCCAAGUUGCACUAAUUACCAUUAUGGCCCAGGUUGGUUCCUUUGUACCAGCUUCAUCAGCAAUACUUCAUGUUGUUGAUGGAAUUUAUACUCGGAUGGGUGCAUCUGACAGUAUUCAACAAGGAACAAGUACCUUUUAUGAAGAGAUGAAUGAAGCUUCCAACAUAUUACAGAACUGCUCAUCUCGAUCCCUAGUUAUCAUUGAUGAGCUUGGCCGUGGAACAAGCACACACGAUGGUGUUGCUAUAGCCUAUGCUACAUUACACUAUCUCCUGAAAAACAAGAAAUGUAUUGUCAUUUUUGUAACUCACUAUCCAAAGAUUCUUGAUAUCCAGAGUGAAUUUGAAGGUUCUGUUGGGGCAUACCAUGUUUCAUAUCUGUCGACAAGGAAGCUGUUGCAAAUCAGUGAUGAAAAGAUGGGUAUUAGCACAGAAACAGAGGAUCUUGGAGAAAUUACUUUCUUGUAUAAACUUGUUGCUGGAGCUUCAGACAGAAGCUUUGGUCUUAAUGUCGCACUGCUUGCGCAGCUCCCGUUGAGAUGUAUUAAGCGGGCAUCGGUCAUGGCAGCCAAACUGCAAGAAGAGAUGAGUAAGCGCGAUGAAAACAAGCUGCUGAGGUUAAUGGACGAACCAUCCAGGGAUGGACCAUGGGAAAGCUCUCCAGAAGUUGGUUUGCUUUGUGCAGAGCCUCACCAGGGGUUGAUGGAAGCAUGCCGCAGGAUACUGCGUGACAUGAGAUCUGCUCAAAGCAAUAACGACGUAACAAAUACACUUUCUUGUUUGAAGAGUGCACAGGAGAUUGCAUCGAAGAUGAUUAAAGGGUAG
rnacentral:rRNA from 1 species